GCGUGUAGCCAGGCAGGAGAAAGGCUGCAGGAGAUAGCUGCUAUGUGGAUUUCAUGGGCACGGUUUGUUUCCACCUGACAAGGCUGCUUCAAAUGGACACCAUUUAAAAGCCACGAUGUAUAUGUUGGAAUUGCCACCUAUGCAACACCCUCACAGCACUGAAGAACCACAUUUUCUGAAACUGGACCCCAGAAACACUGUGGAACAAGGACAAGCCUCAAAGUCCACACAGGCAGCACAGAAUUGCUGGGGACCAUCUGUUUGUUUGUGGAACAGUGCCCUCCUGCAGAAGUUGAAGAAAAGGAUUAUGGCAACUUACCUUGGAUUUAGGAAAGUACAAAUCCCUUCACACCACCAACUUGAAGACAGCCUUCAGUAAUCCUCUCUGGAAUGGUGGGACUGAUUUAUUUGUGUUUCAAGCCACCUAAAUUUACAGUGCUUCUUGCUUCCUUGCAGAGGAUUCUCAGUGCUACCAAACCAGCUCCAUACUGAUAACAGAGGAGCAA